rnacentral:lncRNA from 1 species
GUGAUUAUUUUAAGUUGUGUUGAUGUAGCUUGGUAAUGCUCUCUGAGGCGCAAUCCCAAGUAGGGGUUGGGUGGAGGAUGUAGUUCUCAAAAGCAUGGUCCUUCCAAUAGCAUUAGCAUCAUCUAUGAAUUUAUUAAUACUGAUUCAUUACCUACUACCAUUCUAGUGAAUGAGAACAAGAAACAAAUAGUUUGAUUAUUUUGAGUUCUUUUAAAACACAUGGUUAAAUAAGGUUUUGAAAACCAUUAUUGUAAGGGCUGUGGUGGUGUAGUGUUAGCUCACUGGUAGAGCGUUUGCCUAAUGUGUGUGAGGCACUGGGUUUGAUCCUUAGCACCACACGAAGGUAUAAAAAUACAUGGACGAGGGGCUGGGGAUGU